rnacentral:lncRNA from 1 species
ACAGCUUUAAAAAAAAAAAAAAACAGAUAAGUAUUACAGAAGUAAAGACCGUACUACCGUUCCCUGUCUCCUUUCUGACACUCUGCCUCUCACCUAUACUGGAGCAGGGGUCCGACUGUGGGCAGUAGUGCAUGGGGGACUGGGGGUGGAGCGAGGGGAGAGUGUUUAGCUGCUCAAGAAAGGAUGAGAGAAUUCCCCGACAAAAAAAUAAAAAAUUGUCAAUACCCCUCCAAGAAGAUGCCAUCCCCUCUCCAUAACCAGAGAAAGGCAAAAUUCUAACACAGAGAGAACAGGCUACUUGUGGCUUCGGGACUAUAAAGACCAAAAAAAAAAAAAAAAGAGUGACAGGACCUGAUGGGGUAGGGUGAGGUGCUAGUGGGGUAAAGGAGGGGGCUCCUGCUCCUGGUGGGAGUGGAAAUUGGGGCCCCAAGCUUACUGGCGAUGCAGCCCUCACGUGACCAGGAGCUGACGUUAGCAAAGAUACUUAAAGCUCUGACCGCCGUCCUCCGUUCUCCUCUGGGUACCAACUCUAUUGCGCGGUGCACUGCCGUGCGUUUAACCCAGGCGCGGAGGAGGAGGAGAAAAUCCCCCCAGAUCCGGGCAGGCCCCGCACCCCACAUCCCAUCCCGUUUUGAGAGGAGGAGGGAAGAGAAAUAAACGUGGCAGCGCAUAUAAGGCCAGUGGGGAGGUUGGGGAAAGGGUGAUCCUAGGGGCACGCAAUUAGUAAACAAUCCGGCUUAUUCACUCCCACUCUCACUUUUCAGAUACCUCCUUCGACCACUGCCCCCACACCCUCUUCCCCGGCCGGCCCCCAGUCCUUUGGGGUGCUAGGAAAUGGGUGUGACAGCAUUUGUAGGGGAGAUGGCGGGUUGGCUCUGGGCUUUACAGGA